GGGGUUGUAGCUCAGUGGUAGACCGCUUGUCUUGCAUGCAUGAGGCACUGGGUUCAAUCCUCAGCACCA
rnacentral:tRNA from 1 species